AGAGUUUGAUCCUGGCUCAGAACGAACGCUGGCGGCAGGCUUAACACAUGCAAGUCGAACGCCCCGCAAGGGGAGCGGCAGACGGGUGAGUAACGCGUGGGAACGUACCUUUUGCUACGGAAUAACUCAGGGAAACUUGUGCUAAUACCGUAUGUGCCCUUCGGGGGAAAGAUUUAUCGGCAAAGGAUCGGCCCGCGUUGGAUUAGCUAGUUGGUGAGGUAAAGGCUCACCAAGGCGACGAUCCAUAGCUGGUCUGAGAGGAUGAUCAGCCACACUGGGACUGAGACACGGCCCAGACUCCUACGGGAGGCAGCAGUGGGGAAUAUUGGACAAUGGGCGCAAGCCUGAUCCAGCCAUGCCGCGUGAGUGAUGAAGGCCCUAGGGUUGUAAAGCUCUUUCACCGGUGAAGAUAAUGACGGUAACCGGAGAAGAAGCCCCGGCUAACUUCGUGCCAGCAGCCGCGGUAAUACGAAGGGGGCUAGCGUUGUUCGGAUUUACUGGGCGUAAAGCGCACGUAGGCGGACUUUUAAGUCAGGGGUGAAAUCCCGGGGCUCAACCCCGGAACUGCCUUUGAUACUGGAAGUCUUGAGUAUGGUANAGGUGAGUGGAAUUCCGAGUGUAGAGGUGAAAUUCNUANAUAUUCGNANNAACACCAGUGNCNAAGGCNGCUCACUGGACCAUUACUGACNC
rnacentral:rRNA from 1 species